ensembl:lncRNA
GGCUUCACACACUGCUCUGUCUCUCACUGGUCCCGUAGGGCCGCUUUUCAAUUGUUAAAACAGCUGCUGAGUUUCCAACCGGAGGAGGCUCUGAGUGCGCCGAGGGGAAGCGCUCCCCGGCUGAAGACUGUGUCCUUGUGGUUCCUGAGUACCGGUGUUCAGCAUCUUGGCCGGAGCAGCCUAGGACGUGGACUUGUUCGCACUCCACACCUCGGGGAGGGAUCUUUCCUCUUCCCCUCAGAAAAAUAUGCAUUUUGCAAGGAGGGAAUCUCCGCACCUCCUCCUCCUCCUCUCCUCCCACCCGAUCCCUGAGCGCCUGUGAGAACCAGGGGAGUCGUCAAUGGAAAUAAAUAGGACCCCGCUCCAUUCUCCGCCCCCUUCAAACAAGUAAAAUCCUCCCCGGGCUCGAAGAAGUAGAGAUAAAACAUCCCUCCCGAGGGAGCGGUUGUCGGCAUUUGAUGGGAUUGAAUUGUUUUAUUAUCCUG